GACGAACGCUGGCGGCGUGCUUAACACAUGCAAGUCGAACGGAAAGGCCCUGCUUUUGUGGGGUGCUCGAGUGGCGAACGGGUGAGUAACACGUGAGUAACCUGCCCUUGACUUUGGGAUAACUUCAGGAAACUGGGGCUAAUACCGGAUAGGAGCUUCUGCUGCAUGGUGGGGGUUGGAAAGUUUCGGCGGUUGGGGAUGGACUCGCGGGUUAUCAGCUUGUUGGGGGGGUAGUGGCUUACCAAGGGUUCGACGGGUAGCCGGCCUGAGAGGGGGACCGGGGACAUUAGGACUGAGAUACGCAACAGACUCGAACGGGACGCAACAGUGGGGAGUAUUGCAGAAUGAGGCGGCGCCAGAGACAGCAACGCCGCGUGCGGGAUGACGGGCUUCGGGUGAUAAACCGAUUUCGCCUGAAACGAAGAGUGAGUGACGGUAAUGGGUAAGGAAGCACCGGCUAACUACGUG
rnacentral:rRNA from 1 species